UGCGGAGGGGACUAGCGUUGUUCGGAAUUACUGGGCGUAAAGCGCACGUAGGCGGAUUUGUAAGUCAGGGGUGAAAUCCCGGGGCUCAACCUCGGAACUGCCUUUGAUACUGCAAAUCUCGAGUCCGGAAGAGGUGAGUGGAAUUCCUAGUGUAGAGGUGAAAUUCGUAGAUAUUAGGAAGAACACCAGUGGCGAAGGCGGCUCACUGGUCCGGUACUGACGCUGAGGUGCGAAAGCGUGGGGGAGCAAACAGGG
rnacentral:rRNA from 1 species